rnacentral:lncRNA from 1 species
CCCUCUCCACCAGGCUCCGCGUCGAGGCCCUACGGGGCGUCAAUACGCACGCGUACUUUGUGUCCCAGGUAGCUCGUCUCUUAGCCAUGUACGCCUCUGCAUUCCGGUCACUGGGAGCGGGGCCGUGGGGGCUGCACAUGCGCACUGCGAGUCCUCGCCUACUCCCAGAAACCACCCGGGCGCAUACGCGGUGCGGCCGCUGCUUCAGGUCGGCGGGCUCCAGGGAGACCUGGGUGGGCAGCGUCGCCGUUUCUCCUUUCUUGGGCAGUAUUUUUCCCAGCGCCACGCGGAGGCUGGGCCAUUAUGAGCUCUGCAUUUCCAGGACCUGGUCACUAUUCAGGACACGGUUCCAGCGCAGUGCGCGUUAGCCAUGUCUCAGGGAUGAGUGACAUUCCAAGAUGUGGCCAUUGACUUCUCCAAGGAAGAGUGGGGAUUCCUGAACCCUGCUCAGAGAGAUUUGUACACAACUGUGAUGCUGGAGAAUUAUCAGAACCUGGUCUGGCUGGGACUUUCCAUUUCUAAAUCUGUGAUUUCACUGUUGGAGAAAAGGAAACUGCCUUGGAUAAUGGCAAAAGAAGAGAUAAGAGGCCCAUUGCCAGGAUAUUUCAAGGUGUCAGAGAUGACCAUCUCCCAGGAGCCAAAGGCAAAGACUAGAACUCUCUUUGGAAAAGGUUAAAUUAUUUACUACACAAUGGCUAAGAUUUAUUUUAGCAAAAGAUAUAAAACAAAAUCAGCA